AUAUUGGUGAGAGACCGAUAGCGAACAAGUACCGUGAGGGAAAGAUGAAAAGCACUUUGGAAAGAGAGUUAAACAGUACGUGAAAUUGUUGAAAGGGAAACGAUUGAAGUCAGUCAUGUCUGUUGGUUUCAGCUUGCCCUGCAAGUGUAUUACCUUCAGACGGGUCAACAUCAGUUUUGGUGCGGUGGAUAAGAGCGGAUUGAAGGUGGCACCCUCGGGUGUGUUAUAGCUUUCUGUUGCAUACACUGCCUGAGACUGAGGACUGCAGCUCGCCUUUAUGGCCGCCCCUCGGGGACGUUCGAGCUUAGGAUGUUGGCAUAAUGGCUUUAAACGACCCGUCUUGAAACACGGACC
rnacentral:rRNA from 1 species